UCUUACAGAUGAGCAAAGAAAGUGAUUUCUUGGGAAAGAAUCUACUCCUGGUGAAGAUGCUGUGAA
rnacentral:pre_miRNA from 1 species